GCUCCGGCGACACCAACCUGCGCCCGCUGGAGACCUGGUAGGGUUUGGGGGGCUUGGGGGGGCUCGGGGGGCUGCAGCCGGACCCCUCUGAGCUCCCUGAACGCCGCAGGUUCACGGAGUUGGGCCAGGGGUUGUUCCAGCUGCGGCAGCUGCUGCGGGCGCUGGGUGACCUGCGACAAAAGGUGACGUACGCCAGGGACCCGCUGGUGGCAGAGACGCCCCUGCUGGAGCAGAGGCUGCAGGAGCAGCUCACGCACCUGCUGAAGAGGUGGGGCUGGGCCAGGAGGGGCUCCAGGGAAAGGUUCUUCCCCCCCAGAGGGUGGUGGAGAGCUGGGGAAGCUCUCCAGGGAAUGGUGACCAAGGGUGACGGAGAUCUGGGAGUGUUUGGACAGCAACGGGGCGGGAUUUUGGGGUGUCUGUGCAGGGUCUGGAGUGGGAUCAGUGAUCCUCAUGGGUCCCUUCCAGCUCUGGAUGACUCAGGAGGGCUCCAGGGAAUGGUGACCAAAGCUGAGGGAUCUCUGGGAGUGUUUGGACAACAACAGGGUGGGAUUUUGGGGUGUCUGUGCAGGGUCUGGAUGAUCCUCACGGGUCCCUUCCAGCUCUGGGAAUUCUGUAAUUUGGGAGGUCAGGGAGGGUUUGGGCACUGA
rnacentral:lncRNA from 1 species